rnacentral:rRNA from 1 species
AAAUCCGGUUGAUCCUGCCGGAGGCUACCGCUAUUGGAGUUCGAUUAAGCCAUGCGAGUCCAGAGCUUUCGGAGCUCGGCGUACCGCUCAGUAACACGUGGGUAACCUAACCUAUGCAGGGGAAUAACCUCGGGAAACUGAGUAUAAUGCCCCAUAGUCCACUACGCCUGGAACGGUGAGUGGAUAAAAGCUCAGGCGGCAUAGGAUGGGCCUGCGGCGUAUCAGGUCGUAGGGGGUGUAAAGUACCCUCUAGCCAUCUACGCGUACGGGUGUUGGGAGACAUAGCCCGGAGAUGGAUUCUGAGACACGAAUCCAGACCCUACGGGGUGCAGCAGGCGC